rnacentral:rRNA from 1 species
GAGUUUGAUCAUGGCUCAGAUUGAACGCUGGCGGCAUGCCUUACACAUGCAAGUCGAACGGCAGCACGGGAGCUUGCUCCUGGUGGCGAGUGGCGAACGGGUGAGUAAUGCAUCGGAACGUAUCCUGGAGUGGGGGAUAACGUAGCGAAAGUUACGCUAAUACCGCAUAUUCUGUGAGCAGGAAAGCGGGGGACCUUCGGGCCUCGCGCUCUUGGAGCGGCCGAUGUCGGAUUAGCUAGUUGGUGAGGUAAAGGCUCACCAAGGCGACGAUCCGUAGCAGGUCUGAGAGGAUGAUCUGCCACACUGGAACUGAGACACGGUCCAGACUCCUACGGGAGGCAGCAGUGGGGAAUUUUGGACAAUGGGGGCGAACCCUGAUCCAGCCAUGCCGCGUGAGUGAAGAAGGCCUCGGUUGG